rnacentral:rRNA from 1 species
GCCUGCACGAAGCCGGAGUUGCUAGUAAUCGCGAAUCAGAAUGUCGCGGUGAAUGCGUUCCCGGGUCUUGUACACACCGCCCGUCACACCAUGGAAGUUGGGGGUGCCCAAAGCCGGCAAGCAAAUAUGCUGUCUAAGGCAAAACCAAUGACUGGGGUGAAGUCGUAACAAGGUAGC